rnacentral:piRNA from 1 species
UACCUCAGCGAUCGUCUGCGGCCUCCGUC